rnacentral:rRNA from 1 species
GCUGGCGGCAUAUUCUAACACAUGUCGUCGAGCGCAUCCUUCGGGGUGAGCGGCGGACGGGUGAGUAUCGCGUGGGAACGUGCCCUUCCCUACGGAAUAGUCUCGGGAAACUGGGGGUAAUACCGUAUACGCCCUUUUGGGGAAAGAUUUAUCGGAGAAGGAUCGGCCCGCGUUGGAUUAGGUAGUUGGUGGGGUAAUGGCUCACCAAGCCGACGAUCCAUAGCUGGUUUGAGAGGAUGAUCAGCCACACUGGGACUGAGACACGGCCCAGACUCCUACGGGAGGCAGCAGUGGGGAAUCUUAGACAAUGGGGGCAACCCUGAUCUAGCCAUGCCGCGUGAGUGAUGAAGGCCCUAGGGUUGUAAAGCUCUUUCAGCUGUGAAGAUAAUGACGGUAGCAGCAGAAAAAAUCCCGGCUAACUCC